GCCGCGGUAGCUCAGACUGGGAGAGCGCUGCCCUGAAGAGGCAGUUGUCCCUGGUUCAAAUCCGGGCCGUGGCA
rnacentral:tRNA from 1 species